rnacentral:rRNA from 1 species
UACGGAGGGUGCAAACGUUGCUCGGAAUCAUUGGGCGUAAAGCGCAUGUAGGCGGUCGGCUAUGUCGGAUGUGAAAGCCUCGGGCUUAACCCGAGAAGUGCAUCCGAAACUGGCCGGCUUGAGUACGGAAGAGGGUCUCGGAAUUCCCGGUGUAGAGGUGAAAUUCGUAGAUAUCGGGAGGAACACCAGUGGCGAAGGCGGAGACCUGGGCCGAUACUGACGCUGAGAUGCGAAAGCGUGGGGAGCGAACAGG